rnacentral:sRNA from 1 species
AAAUGUGCCCUGCUCUCUCCCCUCUUAAAAAUAGCAGCAACCCAUCUUUGCAAAGAAGCUUGCCUAUAGAGCAGGCACUCUGUGAAUGGACUGUGCUUUUAUGACCCUACAGGGUAUCAAGAUACUGUGCAGCUCACCAACAAGGAUUAGUUGCAAGGACUGGUAGAUCGAAUUUACUGAAGACUUGGAGUUUGCUUCUGAGAACAAAUGCAAAAGGACAGUAAACUGUGGACCUUGAAGUUAGCAGGGUUUCACUCUUGUUGCCCAAGCUGGAGUGGAAAGGCAAAAUCUCAGCUCACCACAGCCUCUGCCUCCCGGGUUCAAGCAAUUCUCCUGCCUCAGCCUCCUGAUUACAGCUGGGAUUACAGGCAUUUGCCACCACACCCAGCUAAUUUUGUAUUUUUAGUAGAGAUGGGGUUUCUCCAUGUUGGUCAGACUGGUCUCAAACUCCCGACCUCAGGUGAUUCAUCCACCUUGGUCUCCCAAAGCGCUGGGAUUACAGGCAUAAGCCACCACUAUGCCUUCUUUGUUUUAAGAUCUUUGCCUCCCUUUCUGCCCAAAUGUGUAAAUUCAAUCUGCUUCACCCCCUUUCCUUUCUUCUCUGGUGAUUUGUAAAGUGCCCAUCCAUGAGUCAUGAUCCCCUGCACUCUGUGAAUUUUCAGGUUUCUUUUAAAUAGAUUCUACCCUACUAGAUGUAUCCACAUUUUACUAUCACUUUACAGCAUUAUUUAGAUUAUUGCAUAACAGCAUCUGCACUUACACACACACACACACACACACAGACAAACAGACACACACACGCUCUUUCCUCUGAUCCUAGACAUCCACCCUGGGAAAUUAGAUACUCUACUACUCAAAAGCUCUUAAAACCACACAGUUACUCUUCAAAGUAGCCCAAUUAGGAGAGGAAAAGAGCAAAACAUGAAUAAAGCAACUCGCUGCUACUAAUGAGCUAUGAGCUUACUGUCUAAAUGGGUGUGACAGACAUGUAAGCAAAAAGAGUAAUUACAGCAAUAACAGAAAAACAGAGAGCCAAAUCAUGAGUGAACUCCCAUUCACAAUUGCUUCAAAGAGAAUAAAAUACCUAGGAAUCCAACUUACAAGGGAUGCGAAGGACCUCUUCAAAGAGAACUACAAUCCGCGGCUCAAUGAAAUAAAAGGUACAAACAAAUGGAAGAACAUUCCAUGCUCAUGGGUAGGAAGAAUCAAUAUUGAGAAAAUGGCCAUACUGCCCAAGGUCAUUUAUAGAUUCAAUGCCAUCCCCAUCAAGCUACCAAUGACUUUCUUCACAGAAUUGGAAAAAACUAUUUUAAAGUUCAUAUGGAACCAAAAAAGAGCCUGCAUUGCCAAGUCAAUCCUAAGCCAAAAGGACAAAGCUGGAGGCAUCAUGCUACCCGACUUCAAACUAUACUACAAGGCUAUAGUAAACAAAACAACAUGGUACUGGCAGCAAAGCAGAGAUAUAGACCAAUGGAACAGAACAGAGCCCUCAGAAAUAAUGCCGCAUAUCUACAACCAUCUGAUCUUUGACAAACCUGAGAAAAACAAGAAAUGGGGAAAGGAUUCCCUAUUUAAUAAAUGGUGCUGGGAAAACUGGCUAGCCAUAUGUAGAAAGCUGAAACUGGAUCCCUUCCUUACAUCUUAUACAAAAAUUAAUUCAAGAUGGAUUAAAGACUUAAACAUUAGACCUAAAACCAUAAAAACCCUAGAAGAAAUCAUAGGCAAUACCAUUCAGGACAUAGGCAUGAGCAAGGACUUCAUGUCUAAAACAUCAAAAGCAAUGGCAACAAAAGCCAAAAUUGACAAAUCGGAUCUAAUUAAACUAAAGAGCUUCUGCACAGCAAAAGAAACUACCAUCAGAGUGAACAGGCAACCUACAGAAUGGGAGAAAAUUUUUGCAAUGCACUCAUCUGACAAAGGGCUAAUAUCCAGAAUCUACAAUGAACUCAAACAAAUUUACAAGAAAAAAACAAACAACCCCAUCAAAAAGUGGGCAAAGGAUAUGAACAGACACUUCUCAAAAGAAGACAUUUAUGCGGCCAAAAGACACAUGAAAAAAUGCUCAUCAUCACUGGCCAUCAGAGAAAUGCAAAUCAAAACCACAAUGAGAUACCAUCUCACACCAGUUAGAAUGGUGAUCAUUAAAAAGUCAGGAAACAACAGGUGCUGGAGAGGAUGUGGAGAAAUAGGAACACUUUUACACUGUUGGUGGGGUUGUAAAGCAGUUCAACCAUUGUGGAAGUCUGGCCAUUCCUCAGGGAUAUAGAGCUAGAAAUACCAUUUGACUCAGCCAUCCCAUUACUGGGUAUAUACCCAAAGGACUAUAAAUUAUGCUACUAUAAAGACACAUGCACAGGUAUGUUUAUUGUGGCACUAUUCACAAUAGCAAAGACUUGGAACCAAGCCAAAUGUCCAACAAUGAUAGACUGGAUUAAGAAAAUGUGGCACAUAUACACCAUGGAAUACUAUGCAGCCAUAAAAAAUGAUGAGUUCAUGUCUUUUGUAGGGACAUGGAUGAAGCUGGAAACCAUCAUUCUCAGUAAACUAUCACAAGGACAAAAAACCAAACACUGCAUGUUCUCACUCAUAGGUGGGAAUUGAACAAUGAGAACACAUGGACACAGGAAGGGGAACAUCACACUCUGGGGCUUGUUGUGGGGUUGGGGGAGGGGGGAGAGAUAGCAUUAGGAGAUAUACCUAAUGUCAAAUGCGAGUUAAUGGGUGCAGCACACCAGCAUGGCACAUGUAUACAUAUGUAACAAACCUGCACGUUGUGCACAUGUACCUAAAACUUAAAGUAUAAUA